CUACGGGGGGCUGCAGUGGGGAAUAUUGGACAAUGGGGGAAACCCUGAUCCAGCAAUGCCGCGUGUGUGAAGAAGGCCUGCGGGUUGUAAAGCACUUUCGGUUGGGAGGACUGCUUCUAGCACUAAUAUUGUUGGAAGUUGACGUUACCUUCAGAAGAAGCACCGGCUAACUCCGUGCCAGCAGCCGCGGUAAUACGGAGGGUGCAAGCGUGAAUCGGAAUUACUGGGCGUAAAGCGCGCGUAGGCGGCUAGAUCAGUCGGGUGUGAAAGCCCCGGGCUUAACCUGGGAACGGCAUCCGAUACUGGCUAGCUUGAGUACAGGAGAGGAGAGUGGAAUUCCACAUGUAGCGGUGAAAUGCGUAGAUAUGUGGAGGAACACCAAUGGCGAAGGCAGCUCUCUGGCCUGAUACUGACGCUGAGGUGCGAAAGCGUGGGGAGCAAACAGGAUUAGAUACCCCUGUAGUC
rnacentral:rRNA from 1 species